rnacentral:rRNA from 1 species
UAAGCAUAUCAAUAAGCGGAGGAAAAGAAACUAACAAGGAUUCCCCUAGUAACUGCGAGUGAAGCGGGAAAAGCUCAAAUUUAAAAUCUGGCAGUCUCUGGCUGUCCGAGUUGUAAUCUAGAGAAGUGUUAUCCACGCUGGACCGUGUACAAGUCUCCUGGAAUGGAGCGUCAUAGAGGGUGAGAAUCCCGUCUUUGACACGGACCCCCAGGGUUUUGUGAUGCGCUCUCAAAGAGUCGAGUUGUUUGGGAAUGCAGCUCAAAAUGGGUGGUAAAUUCCAUCUAAAGCUAAAUAUUGGCGAGAGACCGAUAGCGAACAAGUACCGUGAGGGAAAGAUGAAAAGAACUUUGGAAAGAGAGUUAAACAGUACGUGAAAUUGUUGAAAGGGAAACGCUUGAAGUCAGUCACAUUGGCCAGGGAUCAGCCUAUGCAUCUUUGCUUGGUGUACUUCCUGGUUGAUGGGUCAGCAUCAAUUUUGAUCAGUGGAUAAAGUCUGAGGGAAUGUGGCAUCUUCGGAUGUGUUUAUAGCCCUUGGUCGCAUACAUUGGUUGGGAUUGAGGAACUCAGCACGCCGCAAGGCCGGGUUUUCGAACCACGUUCGUGCUUAGGAUGCUGGCAUAAUGGCUUUAAUCGACCCGUCUUGAAACACGGACCAAGGAGUCUAACAUGCCUGCGAGUGUUGGGGUGGA